AUUGAACGCUGGCGGCAGGCCUAACACAUGCAAGUCGAACGAGUGGCGGACGGGUGAGUAAUGUCUGGGAAACUGCCCGAUGGAGGGGGAUCACUACUGGAAACGGUAGCUAAUACCGCAUACCAUCGGAUGUGCCCAAAUGGGCUUAGCUAGUAGGUGGGGUAACGGAUCACCUAGGAGACGAUCCCUAGCUGGUCUGAGAGGGUGACCAGCCACACUGGAACUGAGACACGGUCCGGACUCCUACGGGAGGCAGCAGUGGGGAAUAUUGCACAAUGGGCGCAAGCCUGAUGCAGCCAUGCCGCUUGUAUGAAGAAGGCCUUCGGGUUGUAAAGUACUUUCAGCGAGGAGGCGUUACUCGCAGAAGAAGCACCGGCUAACUCCGUGCCAGCAGCCGCGGUAAUAC
rnacentral:rRNA from 1 species